CCUACGGGAGGCAGCAGUGGGGAAUCUUAGACAAUGGGGGCAACCCUGAUCUAGCCAUGCCGCGUGAGUGAUGAAGGCCUUAGGGUCGUAAAGCUCUUUCGCCUGUGAUGAUAAUGACAGUAGCAGGUAAAGAAACCCCGGCUAACUCCGUGCCAGCAGCCGCGGUAAUACGGAGGGGGUUAGCGUUGUUCGGAAUUACUGGGCGUAAAGCGCGCGUAGGCGGAUUAGAAAGUUGGGGGUGAAAUCCCGGGGCUCAACCUCGGAACUGCCUCCAAAACUGCUAGUCUAGAGUUCGAGAGAGGUGAGUGGAAUUCCGAGUGUAGAGGUGAAAUUCGUAGAUAUUCGGAGGAACACCAGUGGCGAAGGCGGCUCACUGGCUCGAUACUGACGCUGAGGUGCGAAAGUGUGGGGAGCAAACAGGAUUAGAUACCCUGGUAGUCCACACCGUAAACGAUGAAUGCCAGUCGUCGGGUAGUAUACUAUUCGGUGACACACGUAACGGAUUAAGCAUUCCGCCUGGGGAGUACGGUCGCAAGAUGAAAACUCAAAGGAAUUGACGGA
rnacentral:rRNA from 1 species